rnacentral:misc_RNA from 1 species
UUAACUAUUAUAUAGCACUCAGACAGCAAAGAUUCAAGGGUUUAUGUCCUCUGACCGGCCACGAGGGCCAGCCAAAGCAACCGAAGUUUGGUAUACAAAGGGUGAGAAUGGGACCGCGAGGGUCACCGAUUCUUUAAUGAUCCUUCCGCAGGUUCACCUACGGAAA